rnacentral:rRNA from 1 species
GAUGAACGCUGGCGGCGUGCUUAAUACAUGCAAGUCGAACGAAGAGUUUAGCAAUAAAUUCUUAGUGGCGAAUGGGUGCGUAACACGUGGGUGACCUACCCCGAAGUGUGGAAUAACAGUUCGAAAGAACUGCUAAUACCGCAUGUGGUCCCGGGUUUUAGAAAGCCGGGUCUAAAGUCGUAAGACGCUUCGGGAGGGGCCUGCGGUCCAUCAGCUAGUUGGUAGGGUAAUGGCCUACCAAGGCAACGACGGAUAGGGGACC